UAGGGAAUCUUCGGCAAUGGGGGCAACCCUGACCGAGCAACGCCGCGUGAGUGAAGAAGGUUUUCGGAUCGUAAAGCUCUGUUGUAAGUCAAGAACGAGUGUGAGAGUGGAAAGUUCACACUGUGACGGUAGCUUACCAGAAAGGGACGGCUAACUACGUGCCAGCAGCCGCGGUAAUACGUAGGUCCCGAGCGUUGUCCGGAUUUAUUGGGCGUAAAGCGAGCGCAGGCGGUUUGAUAAGUCUGAAGUUAAAGGCUGUGGCUCAACCAUAGUUCGCUUUGGAAACUGUCAAACUUGAGUGCAGAAGGGGAGAGUGGAAUUCCAUGUGUAGCGGUGAAAUACGUAGAUAUAUGGAGGAACACCGGUGGCGAAAGCGGCUCUCUGGUCUGUAACUGACGCUGAGGCUCGAAAGCGUGGGGAGCGAACAGGAUUAGAUACCCUGGUAGUCCACGCCGUAAACGAUGAGUGCUAGGUGUUGGAUCCUUUCCGGGAUUCAGUGCCGCAGCUAACGCAUUAAGCACUCCGCCUGGGGAGUACGACCGCAAGGUUG
rnacentral:rRNA from 1 species